CAAUAGCGUAUAUUAAAGUUGUUGCGGUUAAAAAGCUCGUAGUUGGAUUUCUGUUGAGAACGUCCGGUCCGCACUAUGUGCGUGUAUCUGGUUCGGUCUUGGCAUCCUCUUGAGGAACGUAUCUGCGCUUGAUUGCGUGGAGCGGUAUUCAAGACUUCUACUUUGAGGAAAUUAGAGUGUUCACGGCAGGCAAGCGCCUUGAAUACGUUAGCAUGGAAUAAUAAUAUAGGAUCUUGGUUCUAUUUUGUUGGUUUCUAGGGCUAAGGUAAUGAUUAAUAGGGAUAAUUGGGGGCAUUUGUAUUAACGCGUCAGAGGUGGAAUUCUUGGAUUGCGUUACGACAAACUACUGCGAAAGCAUUUGCCAAGGAUGUUUUCAUUGA
rnacentral:rRNA from 1 species